AAAGACAAACCUAUCAAAAAUAAUAACUACAGGAGAGCAGGACGUCUGGCUUCUGACUGGGAACCUUCGUGCCGUCAGCAACCAAAGAGAGAAUCAAAUAUGGGUGAUGUUGAGAAAGGCAAGAAGAUUUUUGUUCAGAAGUGUGCCCAGUGCCACACUGUGGAAAAGGGAGGAAAGCACAAGACUGGGCCAAAUCUCCAUGGUUUCUUUGGGAGAAAGACAGGUCAGGCUGCUGGAUUCUCUUACACAGACGCCAAUAAGAACAAAGGCAUCACCUGGGGAGAGGACACACUGAUGGAGUAUUUGGAGAAUCCCAAGAAGUACAUCCCUGGAACAGAAAUGAUCUUCGCCAGCAUUAAGAAGAAGGGAGAAAGGGCAGACUUGAUAGCUUAUCUCAAAAAAGCCACUAAUGAGUAAUAAUUGGCCACUGCCUUAUUUAUUACAAACCAGAAAUAUCUCAUAACUUUUUUUAUGUGUACCAUAAUUUAAUUGGUCUCAUACACCAGAAUUCAGAUCAUGAAAGAGUGA